AGGACGAACGCUGGCGGCGUGCCUAACACAUGCAAGUCGAGCGAGGAGAUUCCUUCGGGAUGAUCCUAGCGGCGGACGGGUGAGUAACACGUGGGCAACCUGCCUCAUAGAGAGGAAUAGCCUUCCGAAAGGGAGAUUAAUACCUCAUAACAUUGCAGUUUCGCAUGGAACAGCAAUUAAAGGAGCAAUCCGCUAUGAGAUGGGCCCGCGGCGCAUUAGCUAGUUGGUGAGGUAACGGCUCACCAAGGCGACGAUGCGUAGCCGACCUGAGAGGGUGAUCGGCCACAUUGGGACUGAGACACGGCCCAGACUCCUACGGGAGGCAGCAGUGGGGAAUAUUGCACAAUGGGGGAAACCCUGAUGCAGCAACGCCGCGUGAGUGAUGACGGCCUUCGGGUUGUAAAGCUCUGUCUUCAGGGACGAUAAUGACGGUACCUGAGGAGGAAGCCACGGCUAACUACGUGCCAGCCGCCGC
rnacentral:rRNA from 1 species